CGGCGCACGGGUGAGUAACGCGUAUCCAACCUGCCCACCACUUGGGGAUAACCUUGCGAAAGUAAGACUAAUACCCAAUGACGUCUCUAGAAGACAUCUGAAAGAGAUUAAAGAUUUAUCGGUGAUGGAUGGGGAUGCGUCUGAUUAGCUUGUUGGCGGGGUAACGACCCACCAAGGCAACGAUCAGUAGGGGUUCUGAGAGGAAGGUCCCCCACAUUGGAACUGAGACACGGUCCAAACUCCUACGGGAGGCAGCAGUGAGGAAUAUUGGUCAAUGGACGAGAGUCUGAACCAGCCAAGUAGCGUGCAGGAAGACGGCCCUAUGGGUUGUAAACUGCUUUUAUAAGGGAAUAAAGUGAGUCUCGUGAGACUUUUUGCAUGUACCUUAUGAAUAAGGACCGGCUAAUUCCGUGCCAGCAGCCGCGGUAAUACGGAAGGUCCGGGCGUUAUCCGGAUUUAUUGGGUUUAAAGGGAGCGUAGGCCGGAGAUUAAGCGUGUUGUGAAAUGUAGGCGCUCAACGUCUGCACUGCAGCGCGAACUGGUUUCCUUGAGUACGCACAAAGUGGGCGGAAUUCGUGGUGUAGCGGUGAAAUGCUUAGAUAUCACGAAGAACUCCGAUUGCGAAGGCAGCUCACUGGAGCGCAACUGACACUGAAGCUCGAAAGUGCGGGUAUCGAACAGGAUUAGAUACCCUGGUAGUCCGCACGGUAAACGAUGGAUGCCCGCUGUUGGUCUGAAUAGGUCAGCGGCCAAGCGAAAGCAUUAAGCAUCCCACCUGGGGAGU
rnacentral:rRNA from 1 species